rnacentral:rRNA from 1 species
AACGUAGGAGACAAACGUUAUCCGGAGUUACUGGGCGUAAAGGGCGUGUAGGCGGUUUGUUAAGUCUGGCGUGAAAGCUCUCGGCUAAACCGGGAGAGGUCGUUGGAUACUGGCAAACUAGAGGAUGGUAGAGGCGUGUGGAAUUCCGGGUGUAGUGGUGAAAUGCGUAGAGAUCCGGAGGAACACCAAUUGCGAAGGCAGCUCGCUGGGACGUAACUGACGCUGACGCGAAAGCGUGGGGAGCGAACAGG